AGGCCCCGCCUCAGCCCCGCUUCCGUGAAGACGGCGCAGUUGGGAGUCCGGCUACCCACCCUGCCCGGCAGGAACUGCUUUGCAGGCAAGGCUGCGGCGGCUGCGCAGGAGGCCCCGGGGCUGCCCACUCACUGGUUGGCACAGGCGUCUCGCCCGCGUGUCACACACGGUCACUCGGCCGUUCAGGUAGAGUGUAUCGCUGCUCGAGAAGCGGAUCAGGUUGAAGGCCAAGGUCACCUCCAGAGAGGCCCCGUUGGCCCGCAGGCCCUGGAGCAGCCGGUUGCUGAUGGGGCAGCUGUGGGGAGAGGCAGCGUCACGGGCCCGCGGUGCCGAUGGAUGACACCGAGCACCGUUGCCCACUUUUUACGUUUGCUUGUAUAGGUGCAGAUGCUGGUUUCAUGCUGAGAACUUUACAUGGAUUGUUUCAUUUCAUCCUCACCGAUCCCAUGAAGAAGACAAUACUUUUGCCCCCCACCACCCCUUUUUUAAAGAUGAGGAAACUGAGGCUCAAACUGAGGUUCAAAAAGCGUUGCCCAAGGUUCUGCAGGGAGCAGCCCGGCCCCAGCGCGCGCCCACACCCUUAAUCACUGGGUUCUAUUUCCUCCUGACAAAGGAGGAAUGACAGGCGAGGACAGGUUUGGCCGUGGUGUGUUUCAGAGCCUGGACUCUGGAGACUGAUGGUGUGUCCUGGGUGAAGUCGCCUAAACUCCGAGUCUUCUCUUGUUCUCUCAGCUGUAAAGUGGUGGAAAUAAUACUUCACAGGGUUGUUUGGAGGAAUAAAUAAGUUUUAUCAUUGUAGGCCCUCAGUAAUCGAGCAAAGAAUAAAAGAAAUGCAUGUUAUUUGUUGGCUGCAAGAUCUCGGGCAGGCUUUAAUCUCUGAGCCUUAAUUUACUUAUCUGCAAAAUGGGAAUGAUAGCAUUAUUCAAGAAACAUUCACCCAGCACUUACUUUCUUCCAGCGUUUGCAUGCCAGGGAUACCAAGAAGAGUGACAGAAUCUGUGCUCAAGGGUAUAAAAGCACCCAGCACAAGCCAAAUCCAGGGGCUGGUCUGGCACUCACAGGAGGUUACCAGGCCUGAAUGACCCUUACCUCUUGUUCACAAAGUGUUAGGUGGCCUUAACAGCACCUGUCCUGGAGAUGUUGGUGCUGGCAAAGACCUCACUGACCACCAGGGCAGAUCAGUCUGGAUCACUGCUUAUUGUCUUGAGGACCAUGUAGAGGGGCAUGCCAAGAGGAACUGUUCUGUUUUCAAGCAGAGUUGAGAGCUGAAGGUCUGUGAAGAUGCCCAAGAUGACGAUGGUGUCCCCAGUGCCCAGAACAUGGAUGGUGCUAUAUCUGGAGAGAGACAAGAGUGAAACCCUCAUCAUGAAACCCCAGAGGGAGACACAUUCACCCACACCUUCUGCCUCUGCAAGGUCACUGAGCACUGGUAACCACAGAGAAUAAAGGGCGGACAGAACAAACCUGCUUACCUUCUUCCUGGUCUGCCUAAAAAGUGAGGUGCCACGUCAUAGAUCCCCAGACCUAGGACCCCUGAAGCUAUCCACAGUAAUUUACAUAAACAACUUGUAUGUAUUCCUUCAUAGAAGCAUCUUUUUUUUUUAAUUGAGACAGGGUCUCACUCUGUUGCCUGUCCUGGAGGGCAGUGGCAUGAUUAUGGCUCACUGCAGCCUCGACCUCCCAGGCUCAAACAAUCCCUCCACCUCAGCCUCCCAAGUGGCUAAGACUAUAAGCACACACCAUCAAGCCCAGCCUGAAGCAUCUCUUUUUUUUUUUUUUAAUUUUUUUAUUGUCUUUAUUGAGAUAUAAUUCACAUAAUAUAAAAGUUACCCAUUUAAAGUUUACAACUAACUGAUCACAACCAGUCAUAGGUUUCUUUGUUCCUUCUCUACUCCCACUGCUUCACAUGACUCGCCUUUUUAAAAAAGUGUACAAUUCAAGGAUUUUAAUACAGUCACAGUUGUUCAACCAUCACCCUAAGUUCCAGAAAAUUUUCAUCACCCCAGAAAGAAACCUCCUACCUAUUAGCAGUCACUCCUCAUUCCCACCACCCCUCCAGCCCUAAGCUACCACUACUCUCUGCUUCUAUAAAUUUCCUAUUCUGGGCUUUUCAUAUAAUUCUUAUUAUAGAAUUAUAAAUUCUACAAUAAGUGGUCUUUGUGACCGGCUUCUAUUGCUAUCCAUAAUGUUUUCAAGGUUCAUCCACAUUGUAGCAUGUAUAAGUGCUUCAUUCUUUUUUAUGGCUAAUAUUCCAUUGUAUGACUAUAUUGCAUUUUAUUUAUCCAUCAAGUGAUGGACACUUGGUUGUUUUUACUAUUUGGCGAUUAUAAACAAUGCUGCUAUGCACAUUAAUGUA